rnacentral:rRNA from 1 species
CUUAGGAUGAACGCUAGCGACAGGCCUAACACAUGCAAGUCAGGGGCAGCACAAGGAGCAAUCUGAGGUGGCGACCGGCGCACGGGUGAGUAACACGUAUGCAACCUGCCUGUAAGCGGGGAAUAACCCGUUGAAAGACGGACUAAUACCGCAUAAUACUAAAUUACUGCAUGGUAAUUUAUUUAAACAUUUAUGGCUUACAGAUGGGCAUGCGCAUGAUUAGCUAGUUGGAGAGGUAACGGCUCCCCAAGGCAACGAUCAUUAGGGGUUCUGAGAGGAAGGUCCCCACACUGGUACUGAGACACGGACCAGACUCCUACGGGAGGCAGCAGUGAGGAAUAUUGGUCAAUGGACGAGAGUCUGAACCAGCCAAGUCGCGUGCAGGAAGAAUGUCCUAAUGGAUUGUAAACUGCUUUUGCAGGGGAAUAAAGUGCAUCACGUGUGAUGUUUUGUAUGUACUCUGCGAAUAAGGAUCGGCUAACUCCGUGCCAGCAGCGGC